rnacentral:rRNA from 1 species
UACGUAGGGACCGAGCGUUGUCCGGAAUCAUUGGGCGUAAAGAGCGUGUAGGCGGCCUGUUAAGUCUUGCGUGAAAUCUCGGGGCUCAACCCCGGGCGGUCGUGAGAAACUGGCAGGCUAGAGUGCGGGAGAGGAGAGUGGAAUUCCUGGUGUAGCGGUGAAAUGCGCAGAUAUCAGGAAGAACACCCGUGGCGAAAGCGGCUCUCUGGAACGGUACUGACGCUGAGACGCGAAAGCGUGGGGAGCGAACAGG